UACGUAGGGUGCGAGCGUUGUCCGGAAUUAUUGGGCGUAAAGGGCUCGUAGGCGGUUUGUCGCGUCGGGAGUGAAAACCAGGUGCUUAACACCUGGCUUGCUUUCGAUACGGGCAGACUAGAGGUAUUCAGGGGAGAACGGAAUUCCUGGUGUAGCGGUGGAAUGACGCAGAGUAUCAGGAAGAACACCCAGUGGCGAAGGCGGCUC
rnacentral:rRNA from 1 species